CACGUAGGGACCAAGCGUUGUCCGGAUUCAUUGGGCGUAAAGAGCUCGUAGGCGGUUCGAUAAGUCGGGUGUGAAACCUCCAGGCUCAACCUGGAGACGCCACCCGAUACUGUCGUGACUAGAGUCCAGUAGGGGAGCGUGGAAUUCCUGGUGUAGCGGUGAAAUGCGUAGAGAUCAGGAAGAACACCGGUGGCGAAAGCGCUCUGCUAGGCCGCAACUGACACUCAUGGACGAAAGCUAGGGGAGCGAAUGGG
rnacentral:rRNA from 1 species